rnacentral:rRNA from 1 species
UGUGAAAUGUUGGGUUAAGUCCCGCAACGAGCGCAACCCUUAUCCUUUGUUGCCAGCGGUCCGGCCGGGAACUCAAAGGAGACUGCCAGUGAUAAACUGGAGGAAGGUGGGGAUGACGUCAAGUCAUCAUGGCCCUUACGACCAGGGCUACACACGUGCUACAAUGGCGCAUACAAAGAGAAGCGACCUCGCGAGAGCAAGCGGACCUCAUAAAGUGCGUCGUAGUCCGGAUUGGAGUCUGCAACUCGACUCCAUGAAGUCGGAAUCGCUAGUAAUCGUGGAUCAGAAUGCCACGGUGAAUACGUUCCCGGGCCUUGUACACACCGCCCGUCACACCAUGGGAGUGGGUUGCAAAAGAAGUAGGUAGCUUAACCUUCGGGAGGGCGCUUACCACUUUGUGAUUCAUGACUGGGGUGAAGUCGUAACAAGGUAACCGUAGGGGAACCUGCGGUUGGA